GUACCACCCACCCACCAUCCGAUAUAGGGUGCUGGUGAUGAAUAAGACCCGUGCGAUACCCAAUCGAGACAAACACCGUGUGCGCUACACGAAUAAACGACAAGUUGAUUCAUAUCGAGUGAGUAGAAGAAACACAAAUCCAUGUAACACGACACUACCUUUUUAAUUUACACAAUAAACAACAGGCCCUGAAGAAGAUCCCAACAACUGGAUCGAAACGUUGGCAAUGAUUUAAAAUAAUCAACGCUUAAUUCGUGACUGAAAGCCGAAAUCCAAUUAUCAU